rnacentral:rRNA from 1 species
UGGCGACCGGCGCACGGGUGAGUAACACGUAUCCAACCUGCCGAUAACUCGGGGAUAGCCUUUCGAAAGAAAGAUUAAUACCCGAUGGCAUAAUUAGACCGCAUGGUUUGAUUAUUAAAGAAUUUCGGUUAUCGAUGGGGAUGCGUUCCAUUAGGCAGUUGGUGAGGUAACGGCUCACCAAACCUUCGAUGGAUAGGGGUUCUGAGAGGAAGGUCCCCCACAUUGGAACUGAGACACGGUCCAA